UAAUACGUAGGCAGCAAGCGUUGUUCGGAGUUACUGGGCGUAAAGAGUAUGUAGGCGGUUGCGUAAGUUCGGUGUGAAAUCUCCCGGCUUAACUGGGAGGGUGCGCCGAAAACUGCGUGGCUUGAGUGCGGGAGAGGAGAGCGGAAUUCCUGGUGUAGCGGUGAAAUGCGUAGAUAUCAGGAGGAACACCGGCGGUGUAGACGGCUCUCUGGACCGUUACUGACGCUGAGAUACGAAAGCGUGGGUAGCAAACAGGAUUAGAUACCCUGGUAGUCCACGCCCUAAACGAUGCACACUUGGUGUGAGCAGUUCAUUCUGUUCGUGCCGGAGCUAACGCGUUAAGUGUGCCGCCUGGGGAGUACGGUCGCAAGGCUG
rnacentral:rRNA from 1 species